rnacentral:misc_RNA from 1 species
UUAACUAUUAUAUAGUACUCAGACAUCACUAAAAUUCAGAGUUUGGUCCUCUGGCAGGCACAUGCAGGCAGAGCCCACAGUGGGAGACCACGGCCUGCCAAAGCAACAAGAGUAGAUAGACACGGAUGGGGUAUACCCGAAGGUAUCCUUUUAUUAAUGAUCCUUCCGCAGGUUCACCUACGGAAA